rnacentral:rRNA from 1 species
AGAGUUUGAUCCUGGCUCAGGAUGAACGCUAGCUACAGGCUUAACACAUGCAAGUCGAGGGGCAGCGGGUUGAAAGCUUGCUUUCAAUGCCGGCGACCGGCGCACGGGUGCGUAACGCGUAUCAAACCUGCCUCAUACUCGGGGAUAGCCUUGCGAAAGUAAGAUUAAUACCCGAUGUUGUUGCUUUCUCGCAUGGGAGAGUAACCAAAGAUUUAUCGGUAUGAGAUGGUGAUGCGUCCGAUUAGGUAGUAGGCGGGGUAACGGCCCACCUAGCCUUCGAUCGGUAGGGGUUCUGAGAGGAAGGUCCCCCACACUGGAACUGAGACACGGUCCAGACUCCUACGGGAGGCAGCAGUGAGGAAUAUUGGUCAAUGGGCGAGAGCCUGAACCAGCCAAGUCGCGUGAAGGACGACGGUUCUAUGGAUUGUAAACUUCUUUUGUAGAGGAAUAAUGGCAGCUACGCGUAGCUGAGAUGCAUGUACUCUACGAAUAAGUAUCGGCUAACUCCGUGCCAGCAGCCGCGGUAAUACGGAGGAUACGAGCGUUAUCCGGAAUUAUUGGGUUUAAAGGGUGCGUAGGUGGCGUAUUAAGUCAGUGGUGAAAAGCUGCAGCUCAACUGUAGUCUUGCCGUUGAAACUGAUAUGCUAGAGAGGAGACGAGGUAUGCGGAAUGUGUGGUGUAGCGGUGAAAUGCAUAGAUAUCACACAGAACGCCGAUUGCGAAGGCAGCGUACCAGGCUCCGUCUGACACUGAAGCACGAAAGCGUGGGGAUCAAACAGGAUUAGAUACCCUGGUAGUCCACGCAGUAAACGAUGAAUACUAGAUUUUUGCGAUAUAGUGUAAGAGUCUAAGCGAAAGCGAUAAGUAUUCCACCUGGGGAGUACGCCGGCAACGGUGAAACUCAAAGGAAUUGACGGGGGCCCG